ACACGAGCAGACAGACGCGAGCGCGCCGAGAAUUCCAUUUCUAAUUUACUAAAGAUAAAAAUGAAUAUAUCACGCACUGCGUCCCGCGAACAGCAGUUAAUAGAUGAUGUACGUGCCAGCCGAGAGCGCCAGACCGGGGGUGGGUGAGGGAUGAUGACAACUCGGCUCCAACCUCCACUUCCCCCCAGUAACAAGGAGCUUGCGUCUCCCCUUUGUUGCCUCUGCCUCCGUACAGCCCCGAGGGGAAGAAAAGUGCCUGGGCCUCCACCCCUAAGCUGGCUGUUCUUUGGAGGCGUGCAGGUCUGCUAAUCCAGUGGACAACUGUUGGGCAGUGGAGACCUGCAUGCCUGACAGUGGCCAAGAGCCUCUGGUCCUGGUGGCAGGCUACAGUCUUCCUACCAUCUCUGGUGAAGCCUCACUUUGCAUUGUUCCUUCCUGGCUCCCCAAAUGAUAUUCUGGACAGAAGUGCCUGCUCUGCCUGCAUCCACGUCAUUAUUCUCAUCAAGGCCACAUCUUUUCCAUGCAUGAACCCUACAAAUACAUAUUUUGCCUGUCCAUAUGUCCUAGUGCAAAAUGAUUUUUUAUCUGACAAAAGUAGAAUUGAGUUUAUUUCAACCAUCUAUGUAAUAUUCUAAUAGGCCACCACUGGAAACAUUUAACCCUAGAAUAAAAGUGAAAAUUAAUUUUAAAAAUCUAUACACUUAAUACAAAAGCAGAGUUUAGGAUUAGAAGAUGUCUUUGAAUCUUUGCUCUAAUUGUUAGAUGUCUUUGGAUACAGUCUUUCUUAACUUAAUUUUUCUUACCUUGAAAAUGAAAUGCUUAUCUCAUAUGGUUAUCUUGUGAUGCAGAUAUAUUCAGUACAUAAAUCACCUAACAUGGAACGUAGUAUUUGACAGGAGCUCCGUGGCUAUUAAGUCCUCACCUCCUCCCACCCACAAAUAGCAGAUAUUCCUGAGAGCACGAAAAAUCACAUCAGAGACCCUGAAAAGAAACUUGUAAUAAGUAUUUACAAAAUAAUUGGGAAAUGCAAAAUAUUCCUUCGAAGGUAAAAGGAAGAUCUGGAGGGAGACUGAAAAGGAACAAUGCCUGCAUUCUUAACAGGACUCAGUGACUUCAGGGUUUAUCUCUCCUUUUCCAUUUCCUACCUAUAAACUACUGAAUGUUCACAUAGCAGUAGUACCCUAUAGCUACUUGACUGCUUCACCUUCUCAGAAUAAAUUUCUGACAGCCUAGAUUUAGCAAAGCCAACAUCUUUGAGUAAGACGGGAAGAACUGUCUACCAACCUCUAGGAUAAGUUGCUGGGUGAUUGGUUGGUGUAUAUGGAAAAUUUGUUUGAUAAAUAAAGAAUGGAAGGCAAAAUAAUAGAGAUGAUGUGUAAACCAUAGUUUUUGCAUAAUUAUUAGGUUAACAUUCAUGACAUUAAGUAAAAUAGCCUUCAAAAACUAAAAAAAAAAAAAUAAUAAAACUUGACAUCAGUUUUUACGGUGCAUUGUAAAAUCACAAAGUUAUUUUAUACCUUACUUAACUCUAUUCAAAUUUGCAGCUGCAUUUGAACACUGGUUUUUCUGUAUUUCUGAACUCUCCAUCAUGCUCUGGGUCUGGUGCUGGGGCCAGGCCAGAUUUAUUUUGCAAGCUGCACUGGGCUCUCAGGUGGCAAUAAUUAAUGACCUUGGCCUUCAGCUUCAGGCAUGGUAACUCACUUUGGAUCGCUCUUCCAACCACUAAAGCAAAGUAAAAUAGUUUUGCGCUGUAAAACCAACCCCCAAUCAAUACAAAGCGUCUGAGGUGUGUUUAUUUAUAUAUUUAUUGCUUUUCAUCUUCAAAGCACUUUAACAACAUUAACUGAUGGUCCUUAAAAUAGGUGAACAUGGUUUGAUCAUUAACUGAUAGGUGCAUAUCUAAAGAGCCUGGCAACACCAACUUGAAAAACCUAAGAUGCGGAAGUGGCUACAACUCAGAGAGAGGACAAUUUCCUUCGUGUUUUCUCUCUUCCUCACUUCUGGGGAAAGGUUUUAUUCGCAUUUACUCUGUGUCUGACAACCAAAACGAAAACGAAAAAAAUCUUGUCAACAGAGCAGAGCACAGCUGGGCCAGGGACAUGGGCUGUGUGGUGGAUUCCGAUUUCUUCAGGUCAGUAGUGCACUGGAAUAUUCACAUUGCUUUGCCAGAGUACUCAGGAGAGCUGAGUUAUCAAAAGCUAAUUACUCAGACUAGGUUGGUUUGUUUGUUUUGCAGUUUUUUAACAUUGCUAUUUUUUUUAACUGAAGUAUAGUCAGUUACAAUGUGUCAAUUUCUGGUGUCAGACAAGCUAUUGAAAGCACCCCUCACCCUCAAUUAUCUAGCUGUUUUAGAUGAAAAUGGGUGUGGUGCUUUCAUUUUUUUGCUAGUGGAAAAGUGCUGACAUUUCUGCAUAAUUUCCUCCUUUUCCUACUUUAGUUAGCAUGUGUUUGAUAGAAGGUUAUCCCCGGUGUUUUCCAAAUUAUUAUUAUUACUCUAAAAACACCAUCUGUGAUUGAGGUCGCAGUUCAUUGCUAGGGCUGUGCUUAGUACGAGUCCUCACUGUUUAGUACUCUGAGAUUAGCAGGUUGCUACCUUGUUUUCCCUCUCUCUUACUUUUAUUCAGAAAG